UUUUAGCCCCGAUCGCAACGGCAUCCUUUUUUGCCAACUGUCAUUAAAGUUUUGAAGAUUUUUUUUCUGGCAAAAAAGAUAGAGUGAAGAGCGGGACGGGUU
rfam:Chryseobacterium chaponense strain DSM 23145 genome assembly, contig: Ga0111693_104